UAAACCAGGACUAAAUCAGGACUAAACCAGGACUAAACCAGGACUAAACCAGGACUAAACCAGGACUAAACCAGGACUAAACCAGGACUAAACCAGAUCUAAAGCAGGACUAAACCAGGACUAAACCAGGACUAAACCAGGUCUAAACCAGGUCUAAACCAGGACUAAACCUGGUCUAAACCAGGACUAAACCAGGACUAAACCAGGUCUAAACCAGGUCUAAACCAGGACUAAACCAGGUCUAAACCAGGACUAAACCAGGACUAAACCAGGACUAAACCAGGUCUAAACCAGGUCUAAACCAGGACUAAACCAGGUCUAAACCAGGACUAAACCAGGUCUAAACCAGGACUAAACCAGGUCUAAACCUGGACUAAACCAGGUCUAAACCUGGUCUAAACCAGGACAAAACCAGGACAAAACCAGGUCUAAACCAGGACUAAACCAGGUCUAAACCAGGUCUAAACCAGGACUAAACCAGGUCUAAACCAGGACUAAACCAAGUCUAAACCAGGACUAAACCAGGACUAAACCA
ensembl:lncRNA